AAAGGUUAAUAUUGGUGAAUUGUAUGUUAUAUGCACUUUACCAUAGUUUUUAGUUAUUUUUAAAACAAUUAAUAGGGAAAAAAUGAAUGAAGGAAACAGUUGUCCCUAAAGGAAAGUAAAUGUCUCUAAAAACAAAAUUUCAUUUUUUUUCCCCUCUGUACUACACAGCACCUGCUAAAAACAUUCCACCUUGGAAGUGGACUAGUACUUCUCUUCAUGAAACACCAUCAAUAUCAUUCUUCCCAUGGUGCUCCUGCAGCUUCCAAAUUCAGUGCUGAAGUUAACCUAAGGAAAAUCAUUUCAUGUUUUAGCAGAAGACAGCUUUGUUUUAUGAGAGCUGCACACCCUGUGAAUUUUCUGCAUAUUGUACAGUAGUUACUGGAGUGGCAGUGUUCGGUGGAGAAACCUCCAUUCACAUUCAGUCUCAUCACAUUCAGCCCCAAAUCUCUGCCCAAAAUUGAAACAAAAGAUUUGAUGAUUACUCUAUGGGUCUGUGGAUACAAAAAUCAUUCACAAUUCACUGCAGGAACAAAGAAAUGAUUCUAGAUUAAAAAAUUAGAUAUGUAUUUAUUAUAAGGAAUUACGAUAAAAGAGCAGCUGGAUUGGGCUAGGGUUAAAUCUGUUCCUAGCAGGACCCUGCCCAAAGAUGCUACAUUCUGAGGAUACAUAGGACACAUAGUCUCAAUCUUUUCCAUGGGCCCAUCCCUUGCAUUUCCUGUGAGAUGCUCUCAAAGAAACAGAACAAACAUGAUUUCCUUUCCUCCACUCCUAUAUAGAAAUACUUCCCAGCAUUUUGCAUUUUGAAUUAUUUCUAAAUUUGACAUUUACUUAUUUUAUAAAAGGAAAAAUGUACAACUAAUAUAUCUAUAAUAUCAUGAAUAGCAACCAUAAAUUUAUCAAAUAAACAUGUGUUCAAGAAUUCUACCUUCUGAGAAAAUCUAACUGGAACUAAAGCUUUCCUCUUUUAAAUGUCUACUUUUUAACAGUAAUAUUAUAAGUGAAUGCCAAGAAAUGAAUGUCUCUGUAAUUAAUGAGAAAUACCUUUCACUUUGUAUUGGCGGAGCUGUUAUGCUAAUUUUCAAUAAUUAAGGAAGUACGGCUAAUUAAUAAUGUACUAAAUCUAAAUAUCAUCUUUGUUCAUAUUUAUUUUUCCUAAACAUGUUUUGACAAUGACACUUAUAUUACUACAGAAAUAAUACAGUGAUGCAGUUCCAGAGAUUAUCUCAUUACAGCAAGAUUUUUGUCACCAUUUUUUUUUUUUAAUACAAAUCCCCAACUAGCUAUCUAGGGCAUCAAAGUAAUUCCCUGAGGAAAAAUCAGUUCAGCGAAGAUAGAGUUUAUAUGUUAAGAAGUAAAACAAGGAAACAUUUUUCACUCCACCUAAGACUUGCCAGGGACAUACCAUGAGCAAGCCACUGUAGUAAGUGAUUGCAAUGUAGAAAAGGGCCAGGCUCCCUUCUUUUCUUCAAGAAAUGGUCAUCUAGCAGGGUCACUGAAUGAUAAAUAAACAACUGAAAUAGUAAAGCAAGUAGAUGGACUUUUAUUGCAGCAUACCAGAGUGGUACCAAACUUGGAGUUCUAAUCACGAAAAACAGGUAUGAAAUAAUGACAUCCUGGUUUGAGACAUCAGUGGUCUCAAGUGUGGAUGAGUAGCUUGAAUGUCUCAUAUGGAAAUCUAUUCAAUGCAACAUUAUUUUAAGAGGCGCCCAGCAUUUGGUCUUAACUCGUUCACCAUGCAUGGGCUUAAAUGUUUACAGAUCUGACCAUAGUUAUUUGUGUAUAAUUUUAGUCGGAGUAGAAAGUCCAAUUCAACUAUCAGCUCCUUUGUGCAAGAAUUAUCUUUGUCUUCUGCAAUGAAGUGCAAAGAGAACACAUCACUUUAUCUCUACCAAGACUGCAAUAUUAAAAAUCUGGGCAAUUCUUCCACUUUUUAUACUUAUUAUGAAUAAGAAUUAUUCAGAUAUACAAGUUUAGGAGAGACAGUUGUGUUAUUUGGGGAAUUCUAAGAAGGAGAUGCCAAAAUGGAGUUUGAAAUGUUAGAAAUAACUUAAAGGUAAUGUCUGUAAAAGAUAAAGGGAGGGAGGAAUAUGCAGAGAGAGGCUUCAGACCAUGAUGCUGGUCUGAUAUCUGUGAAUCAUUCUUUAGAGUGGAAGUUCUAGAAUGCCAGGAAUAGUGUUUGACAUAGAGCUUUCAAGAAACGCCAACUGAAUAAUUCAGUAAAAGAAUUCAUUGUGGGGAAGAAAUGUGGAAGACAGAAGUAAAUAUCUAAAAUAAACAAGUAACAAUAGUAUUCAUGCUAUCACAGAGGUAGGGAGCUGUGUGAACUAAAAUUGACUGAAUGAUCUUCUUUUGGAAGCAAGUCUUUCCCAGUGGAACUAAAGGGAAAUUAAAGGUCUAUCUCUUCUGUUACCAGGG
ensembl:lncRNA